GACGAACGCUGGCGGCGUGCCUAAUACAUGCAAGUCGAGCGAGCGGACCUAACGGAUUUACUUCGGUAGUGACGUUAGGACGGCCAGCGGCGGAUGGGUGAGUAACACGUUGGGAACCUGCCCCAUAGUCUGGGAUACCACUUGUAAACAGGCGCUCAUACUGGAUAAGAAAGCAGAUCGCAUUCUCAGCUUUUAAAAGGCGGCGUGAGCUGUCGCUAUGGGAUGGCCCCGCGGUGCAUUAGCUAGUUGGUAAGGUAAAGGCUUACCAAGGCGAUGAUGCAUAGCCGGGUUGAGAGACUGAUCAGCCACAUUGGGACUGAGACACGGCCCAGACUCCUACGGGAGGCAGCAGUAGGGAAUCUUGCACAAUGGGCGCAAGUCUGAUGGAGCAACGCCGCGUGAGUGAAGAAGGUGUUCGGAUCGUAAAGCUCUGUUGUUGGUGAAGAAGGACAGAGGUAGUAACUGGCCUUUAUUUGACGGUAAUCAACCAGAAAGUCACGGCUAACUACGUG
rnacentral:rRNA from 1 species